CUCACUGCAGAUGGCCUGAAUUUUCUUAAGUAGGAAGUGUGAACCACAGAAUCAUCAAAGUCCAGUGGCAAGACAAAAGUCAGAAAGACUAGCUAGCAAUGGUCCAAGAUGCUGUAGAAGACCUUGGCAUCUUUAAUCUAUAAUCAAGCACUUCAUAACACUUAGUGUAGCUAAAGAGGUACCUCAUUGAUAUGAAUAUUGAUUGAAUAACCACAAAGAACUAUCAGACCAAUCCUUACCCUCCAGCAGAAGCAAACCUGAAGCAGGAACCAAUUCUACUGUAUGCAGAACCAUUAGUUAU
rnacentral:lncRNA from 1 species